GAUGAACGCUGGCGGCGUGCUUAACACAUGCAAGUCGAACGGAAAGGCCCAAGCUUGCUUGGGUACUCGAGUGGCGAACGGGUGAGUAACACGUGGGUGAUCUGCCCUGCACUUCGGGAUAAGCCUGGGAAACUGGGUCUAAUACUGGAUAGGACCACUUCUUGGAUGGUGUGGUGGAAAGUUUUUUCGGUGUGGGAUGAGCUCGCGGCCUAUCAGCUUGUUGGUGGGGUAAUGGCCUACCAAGGCGUCGACGGGUAGCCGGCCUGAGAGGGUGUACGGCCACAUUGGGACUGAGAUACGGCCCAGACUCCUACGGGGGGCAGCAGUGGGGAAUAUUGCACAAUGGGCGCGAGCCUGAUGCAGCGACGCCGCGUGGGGGAUGACGGCCUUCGGGUUGUAAACUCCUUUCGCUAGGGACGAAGCGUUUUUGUGACGGUACCUGGAGAAGAAGCACCGGCUAACUACGUG
rnacentral:rRNA from 1 species